GACGAACGCUGGCGGCGUGCUUAACACAUGCAAGUCGAGGGACCGGCGCACGGGUGAGUAACACGUAUCCAACCUGCCCUUUACUCGGGGAUAGCCUGUCGAAAGAAAGAUUAAUACCCGAUAUAAGGGAUGGGGAUGCGUUCCAUUAGGUUGUUGGUGAGGGAACGGCUAACCAAGCCUUCGAUGGAUAGGGGUUCGGAGAGGAAGGUCCCCCGCAUUGGAACUGCGGCACGGUCCAAACCCCUACGGGAGGGAGCAGUGAGGGAGAUUGGUGAAUGAGCGGUAGCCUGAACCUGCCGCGUAGCGGGAAGGAUGAAGGCUUUUGGGUCGUAAACCUCUUGGAUAUAAGAAUAUGUAUUAGAUGAAUAAGGAUCGGCUAACUCCGUGCCAGCAGCCGCGGUAAUAC
rnacentral:rRNA from 1 species